UACGUAGGGGGCUAGUGUUGUCCGGAAUCAUUGGGCGUAAAGCGCGUGUAGGCGGUCCGGUAAGUCCGCUGUGAAAGUCGGGGGCUCAACCCUCGGAUGCCGGUGGAUACUGUCGGGCUUGAGUACGGAAGAGGCGAGUGGAAUUCCUGGUGUAGCGGUGAAAUGCGCAGAUAUCAGGAGGAACACCAAUUGCGAAGGCAGCUCGCUGGGACGUUACUGACGCUGAGACGCGAAAGCGUGGGGAGCAAACAGG
rnacentral:rRNA from 1 species